GCAGUAGUGGUUCAGUGGUAGAAUUCUUGCCUUCCAUGUGGGGAAACCCUGGUUCGAUUCCUGGCGGAUGCU
rnacentral:tRNA from 1 species